rnacentral:lncRNA from 1 species
CCCACUUUGGCCUCCCAAAGUGCUGGGAUUAUAGGUAGCAGUCAAUAGUAUUGAACAAGAAAAAGCUGCAUGACUUUUAGACCAGAGGAGUGAGGACAGCACUUAGAGGAGGCACACAGCCAACACGUCCAGUUAACCAGGAUAAAUGAUUUAAAAGAACUUUGUAAAAAUGCUGAACAUAAUUUGCUAUCACCAAAUAUAGGAAUCUCUGAAGCCAGCUGUCUUGCUCAUAUGAAAUGCAAUGACAAGAUCCAAAUUGUGAGAAAAGGAAUCCAACUUGGUUGGAACAGGAAAGAAACAAAAACAAAGAACCUCUGGCCCAGAGUCAUUUCUGUUUGGAAAAAUUUCUGAAGAUUAAACUUAGGCCCUGAGUGCACCUAACAGUGCAAUCUGCAGGCUGCCAACGCGUAGCCGUGGAACUAAAUCCAGCAGCUCAAGUGUCCCAUCACAAUUUGAAAUCCAGUGUAUGAUUUGCUCAGCCUGCUUUGGUCCAAGGUCCUCUUUGGAGAGAAUCCUGAAAGUGUAAAUGACUUGCAGCUGAACCAGGCCCCUACUUCCCGGGUAUGUACUGCAUUAAACCCCACACCCCUGCUUGGCCUCGCCUGGGAAGGCUUCAGAAGAGCUCUUCAAAGCAGACCUCAUCAAAACAAACACCCCUACCUCUACCCCCAUCUCCUGUGCCCUUCAGAAAACAAACAACAAUACUUCUCUGUUCACCAAAAACAAGGAGAAUUUUCUGUUCAAAGUAUUUUUUUCUUAUUCCCUAUUGGCAGCACUUAUUAAGGAACGGAUGACUUUCAAGUUGAGUGAACUCUGUUUGAAACAUAAGCACAUAAGAAUCCAGGUGCUUAAAACUUUUUCAAACUUAGGUACACAUCCUUACAGCCUUCAUAUAAAAAAAAAUCCUUUUAAUGUUUUAUUAAAACCUCUGUCAGUUUAAAAGAAAGGAUAUCUUUGACCACAGAUUUUGAGUAAUUACGUUUACAUUGAAAGCUAGUAAGCAAAAUGUCUAAGAUGUUACUUCCCUUUCAAACUUUUGGAAACAGCUAUGGUGUUAGAUGGACCUGGGUUUGAAUUCUGUUUCCCUUACUUCCUAGCUGUAAGAUCUCAAGCAGCUGACCCAACCUCUCUGCACCUCAACUUCUUCAUUAGUAAAAUG